rnacentral:rRNA from 1 species
CUCUAUGGCCAUGCCACCCUAAACAUGCCCGACCUCAUCUGAUCUCAGCAGCUACUCAGGGUCGGGCCUGGUUAGUACUUGGAUGGGAGACCAUCUAGGAAGACCAGGUGCUAUAGGCU